CUGCCCUCAAGCCCGGCUUGUGUGUUGGGCCUUCGUCCCCCCCACCGGGGGGACGGGCCCGAAAGGCAGUGGCGGCACCGUGUCCGGUCCUCGAGUGUAUGGGGCUCUGUCACUCACUCUGUAGGCCUGGCCGGUGCCCGCCGACCCCCCGUCUUCCUUUUUUCCAGG
rnacentral:misc_RNA from 1 species